AUUGAACGCUGGCGGCAGGCUUAACACAUGCAAGUCGAGCGGGGUGAUGGUGCUUGCACUAUCACUUAGCGGCGGACGGGUGAGUAAUGCUUAGGAAUCUGCCUAUUAGUGGGGGACAACAUCUCGAAAGGGAUGCUAAUACCGCAUACGUCCUUCGGGUGAAAGCAGGGGAUCACUUGUGACCUUGCGCUAAUAGAUGAGCCUAAGUCGGAUUAGCUAGUUGGUGGGGUAAAGGCCUACCAAGGCGACGAUCUGUAGCGGGUCUGAGAGGAUGAUCCGCCACACUGGGACUGAGACACGGCCCAGACUCCUACGGGAGGCAGCAGUGGGGAAUAUUGGACAAUGGGGGGAACCCUGAUCCAGCCAUGCCGCGUGUGUGAAGAAGGCCUUAUGGUUGUAAAGCACUUUAAGCGAGGAGGAGGCUCUUUUGGUUAAUACCCAAGAUGAGUGGGCGUUACUCGCAGAAUAAGCACCGGCUAACUCUGUGCCAGCCGCCGCGUAA
rnacentral:rRNA from 1 species